rnacentral:lncRNA from 1 species
CCACAGUACCCGCAUGUGUCAGAAGGAGGUAACUGAAACACAACAAAAUCAAAAUCCUGUUUUUAAAGGUAUGGUCACUCAUUGAUGCCUUCAUGAGGACGUGCCUGAAAAUUGUCCAGAGAAUUCACUUGCUCAAGGCCCUGAGAAGUGCAACUAAGGCAAGAAGAUAAUGAGGCACAGAAAUACACCUGAACAACGAAGAAAGAAGACGCAUCUGAAAUAGCUAGUUUCCACUUUGCACCCUCAAAGAGGCAGGGAUUCUUAGGGAAAAAGUUAAAAAGUAAAACAACCAACAAUAAGAAACCCAAACAGAAUUAGUGUGUGAUCAUAUUGAAAGGCUACUUCAUAAUGUAGUUUUUAAUUUUGAAUGAUAG